UCGGUGACGUCUAGCGCGGUGAGUUGUGGGAAGGUCGGUUGGACGCCGCACUCGGCGCUCAGCUGGCGAUCGGUUCGAACGUUUUGUUUCUGUUUACCUACCGAAUUGCAUUUGUAACGUAAGUUGCCGCACUUCUCGACAUUAGCCGACGAAGAUGUACUGAUCGGAAGGUUCCGUAUUAAGGCUUAGGCGGAAACAAGAGUGUCGAAAUGUUCGUCUGCGGGCAAAUACGGUGAACGCUACCGGAAAAUCGCUACCUUUUUAACUACAAAAAGUGUGGAAAUUCGUCGAAUAUUUCCCGUAGAAAAACACGAAAUCGUCCCGUAGGAGGGAUGUGAAGACGUAAAUGUACGGUAACGAAAUUCGUUUACUUUAAAUUACGCUGCGGAGUUUUUAUCGGAAGAAAGGAGGUGGACUUGACUCAAUUAAAAAAAAAAAUAAAUAAAUCCGAAAGGGAAUGCUUAUUAUAAGAACAAUUGAAGCAGUGAUUUUGGUGAGCAAAAUUGAAUUGUCCACGUGGAAAAAACGGAAAUGGAGCAAUAAUUACUUGACUAAAGUCCGAGGAAAAAAUAUCUAGGAUCCAAUUAAGAACAAAUUUAAUUGACAAUUCAGAAAUUCAGAUAAAAGACUAAUGAACAGGAAGAACAUGAAGUUGUAAGAAUGACUUUCCCAGUUACCUAAUAAAAAUAAAAAAUGCUAUUCAUGUAAUUGUCAGUUUUGAAUUCAUGUAACACACCUUUAUUUAUUUAUUUAUUUAUUAUCGAAGUAAGUUGUUUAUGAUUUCAUCUACGCCUACUCUUAUGCAAUUGUAUUUAUUGGCAUUUUUCUUUCCU